ensembl:rRNA 5S_rRNA 5S ribosomal RNA
GCCGGCAGCUAUCUCUCUGCAACUCUCACAUGGUCAUCCACGGAAGCUAAAUAGGGCUGCGCCCGGUCAGUACCUGGAUGGCAGACCACAUGGGAAAGCUUGGUUGCUGCCAGAA